rnacentral:misc_RNA from 1 species
GGGAAAGUGCAAACUGUGGUGGGAGAUUUGGCGACGCAAGGGGAAAGAGCACAGGCGAUUCUGGGGUGGAGAGAUCCGAGGGCCACAGCACUGUUCAUAAUCUUCGCGUUGAUGUGGGCGGUUUUCAUCUACGUUACGCCGUUUCAGGUGGUGGCAAUUCUGAUCGGAUUGUAUGUGCUCCGCCACCCGAGAUUCAGGAGGAAGUUGCC